rnacentral:pre_miRNA from 1 species
UCGUAUAAUAAUCUUUUUUUUCUGUGUUUAACGUUUGACCGUUCGUCUUAUUUGAAAUUUUUUUGUGAUUAAUAUUUUUAUUGUUACUAGAUGAUAAAAUAUAAAUAGUAUUUUAUACGUGACUAAUUUUUUUAAAGUUUUUUAUAAAUAAGAUGAAUGGUCAAACGUUGAACACGGAAAAAC